CGCAAUGGGCGAAAGCCUGACGGAGCGACGCCGCGUGAUUGAUGAAGUCCUUCGGGACGUAAAGAUCUUUUAUGCGCAAGAAAGUUAUUGAUCAGCGCAUGAAUAAGAGGCUCCUAACUCUGUGCCAGCAGGAGCGGUAAUACAGAGGCCUCAAGCGUUACCCGGAAUCACUGGGCGUAAAGGGUGUGUAGGUGGUCGCGUUAGUCUUUCGUAAAAGCUCUCGGGCUUAACCCGGGAAAUGCGGGGGAAACGGCGCGACUUGGAGGAUGUGAGAGGUAUACGGAACUCAUGGUGUAGGGGUGAAAUCCGUUGAUAUCAUGGGGAACACCAAAUGCGAAGGCAGUAUACGGGGGCAUUCCUGACGCUGGAACCCGAAAGCGU
rnacentral:rRNA from 1 species